rnacentral:rRNA from 1 species
GCGAACGGGUGAGUAACACGUGGGCAAUCUGCCCUUCACUCUGGGACAAGCCCUGGAAACGGGGUCUAAUACCGGAUAACACUCUGUCCCGCAUGGGACGGGGUUGAAAGCUCCGGCGGUGAAGGAUGAGCCCGCGGCCUAUCAGCUUGUUGGUGGGGUAAUGGCCUACCAAGGCGACGACGGGUAGCCGGCCUGAGAGGGCGACCGGCCACACUGGGACUGAGACACGGCCCAGACUCCUACGGGAGGCAGCAGUGGGGAAUAUUGCACAAUGGGCGAAAGCCUGAUGCAGCGACGCCGCGUGAGGGAUGACGGCCUUCGGGUUGUAAACCUCUUUCAGCAGGGAAGAAGCGAAAGUGACGGUACCUGCAGAAGAAGCGCCGGCUAACUACGUGCCAGCAGCCGCGGUAAUACGUAGGGCGCAAGCGUUGUCCGGAAUUAUUGGGCGUAAAGAGCUCGUAGGCGGCUUGUCACGUCGGAUGUGAAAGCCCGGGGCUUAACCCCGGGUCUGCAUUCGAUACGGGCUAGCUAGAGUGUGGUAGGGGAGAUCGGAAUUCCUGGUGUAGCGGUGAAAUGCGCAGAUAUCAGGAGGAACACCGGUGGCGAAGGCGGAUCUCUGGGCCAUUACUGACGCUGAGGAGCGAAAGCGUGGGGAGCGAACAGGAUUAGAUACCCUGGUAGUCCACGCCGUAAACGUUGGGAACUAGGUGUUGGCGACAUUCCACGUCGUCGGUGCCGCAGCUAACGCAU